rnacentral:rRNA from 1 species
UACGUAGGGGGCUAGCGUUAUCCGGAUUUACUGGGCGUAAAGCGCGUUCAGGCGGUUUGGCAAGUCGGGCAUGAAAUCUCUCGGCUCAACCGGGAGAGGUUGUCCGAUACUUCCAGACUUGAGGGCAGUAGAGGGUGGUGGAAUUCCGGGUGUAGUGGUGAAAUGCGUAGAUAUCCGGAGGAACACCAGUGGCGAAAGCGGCCACCUGGACUGCACCUGACGCUGACACGCGAAAGCUAGGGGAGCGAACGGG